AUUGAACGCUGGCGGCGUGCCUAACACAUGCAAGUCGAACGCGAAAGUGGAGCAAUCCAUGAGUAGAGUGGCAAACGGGUGAGUAACGCGUGGGCGACCUACCUUCGAGUGGGGGAUAACCUUCCGAAAGGAGGGCUAAUACCGCAUGACAUCCCGUGUUUGGAUACACGGACAUCAAAGCCGGGGAUCGUAAGACCUGGCGCUUGAAGAGGGCCCGCGUCCGAUUAGCAGUUGGUGAGGUAACGGCUCACCAAGGCUCCGAUCGGUAUCCGGCCUGAGAGGGCGGACGGACACACUGGAACUGAGACACGGUCCAGACUCCUACGGGAGGCAGCAGUGGGGAAUUGUUCGCAAUGGGCGCAAGCCUGACGACGCAACGCCGCGUGGAGGAUGAAGACUUCGGUCGUAAC
rnacentral:rRNA from 1 species